GACGAACUCUUUCUUCGUGCUUAACACAUGCAAGUCGAACGGAAAGGCCCUGCUUUUGUGGGGUGCUCGAGUGGCGAACGGGUGAGUAACACGUGAGUAACCUGCCCUUGACUUUGGGAUAACUUCAGGAAACUGGGGCUAAUACCGGAUAGGAGCUCCUGCUGCAUGGUGGGGGUUGGAAAGUUUCGGCGGUUGGGGAUGGACUCGCGGCUUAUCAGCUUGUUGGUGGGGUAGUGGCUUACCAAGGCUUUGACGGGUAGCCGGCCUGAGAGGGUGACCGGCCACAUUGGGACUGAGAUACGGCCCAGACUCCUACGGGAGGCAGCAGUGGGGAAUAUUGCACAAUGGGCGGAAGCCUGAUGCAGCAACGCCGCGUGCGGGAUGACGGCCUUCGGGUUGUAAACCGCUUUCGCCUGUGACGAAGCGUGAGUGACGGUAAUGGGUAAAGAAGCACCGGCUAACUACGUG
rnacentral:rRNA from 1 species